rnacentral:rRNA from 1 species
UACGUAGGUGGCAAGCGUUGUCCGGAUUUACUGGGCGUAAAGAGCGCGCAGGCGGUCGUACAAGUCGCGUGUGAAAGCCCCCGGCUCAACUGGGGAGGGUCACGCGAUACUGUUCGACUCGAAGGCAGGAGAGGGUAGUGGAAUUCCCGGUGUAGUGGUGAAAUGCGUAGAUAUCGGGAGGAACACCAGUGGCGAAGGCGACUACCUGGCCUGUUCUUGACGCUGAGGCGCGAAAGCUAGGGGAGCAAACGGGG